CCCUACGGGAGGCAGCAGUGGGGAAUAUUGCACAAUGGGGGAAACCCUGAUGCAGCGACGCCGCGUGAAGGACGAAGUAUUUCGGUACGUAAACUUCUAUCAGCAGGGAAGAAAAUGACGGUACCUGACCAAGAAGCCCCGGCUAACUACGUGCCAGCAGCCGCGGUAAUACGUAGGGGGCAAGCGUUAUCCGGAAUUACUGGGUGUAAAGGGAGCGUAGACGGCUGUGCAAGUCUGGAGUGAAAGGCGGGGGCCCAACCCCCGGACUGCUCUGGAAACUGUAUGGCUGGCGUGCAGGAGAGGUA
rnacentral:rRNA from 1 species